rnacentral:misc_RNA from 1 species
GAAAGGGCGCUGGUUCAGGCAGGG